rnacentral:rRNA from 1 species
AAUGAACGUUGGCGGCAUGGAUUAGGCAUGCAAGUCGCGCGAGAAGUCAAUUUGCUUGCAAAGAGACGGACAGCGGCGAAAGGGAGAGUAACGUGUGGUUACGUGCCUCGAGGACCAGGAUAGCGUUGGGAAACUGGCAGUAAUACUGGAUAAUAUCUGCGGAUCAAAUGGUGUGAUUCCGCCUCGAGAUCGGACCGCAUACUAUUAGCUUGUUGGUGGGGUAAUGGCCCACCAAGGCUGCGAUGGUUACCGGUGUGAGAGCAUGGCCCGGCUCACUGGGACUGAGACACUGCCCAGACACCUACGGGUGGCUGCAGUCGAGAAUCUUCGGCAAUGGACGAAAGUCUGACCGAGCGAUGCCGCGUGCGGGAUGAAGGUCUUCGGAUUGUAAACCGCUGUCAGUUGUUAGGAAAUGCAUGAGGGUUAUCCCUUGUGUUUGACCG